AGCGCCGGUUGUGUCGGUCGUGCUCCACCGUAAAUUUUCCGCCGCAGCUUAACGAGCUGAAGGCGGUCUGACAGAACUUAACGCGAGUCUUUUGAGGUUGAACCACAUCAUGGCUGGAGGUGUAGCAACCUUGACCUGAAGGAGCUGCUCAGGACCACUACAGCAGGAUGCAUGGGGUGGGUGGAGUUGUCUAUGAUGGCCAACAUCCAUCUGUCUGCAACGUCGUCAAUGGAGUUCAGUGAGCAGUCCAAGACAGUGAAAACUGUGUAAAAAUUGAUUGUACUUACAUGACCAAAGGGAUUUGGAAGCUGGCAUUUCAGAAGCGGAGCGGCUGAUGAAGGUGUGGUUGAUGGUGCUGACGGAGAUGCCGUAUUCUUCCACUUCAGCUCUCAGGCAAUCAAAGAAAGCCUGAACUGCAUGUUUAGAGGCUGCAUCUGAAAAAGCAGAUCUUUGAACUUACAUGUAGUGCGAAAAGGUACUGCUAUUUUCCCUUGGAUGCUGUUAACCAGGAUCAAGUGACCACUUCUCCUUGAG